rnacentral:rRNA from 1 species
AUUGAACGCUGGCGGCAUGCCUUACACAUGCAAGUCGAACGGCAGCGGACCUUCGGGUGCCGGCGAGUGGCGAACGGGUGAGUAAAGUAUCGGAACGUACCUUUCAGUGGGGGAUAACGUAGCGAAAGUUACGCUAAUACCGCAUAUUCUGUGAGCAGGAAAGCAGGGGAUCGCAAGACCUUGCGCUGAUUGCGCGGCCGAUAUCAGAUUAGCUCGUUGGUGAGGGAAAGGCUCACCAAGGCGACGAUCUGUAGCGGGGCUGAGAGGAUGAUCCGCCAAACUGGAACUGAGAAACGGUCCAGACUCCGACGGGAGGCAGCAGUGGGGAAUUUUGGACAAUGGGGGCAACCCUGAUCCAGCCAUGCCGCGUGAGUGAAGAAGGCCUUCGGGCUGUAAAGCUCUUUCGGCCGGGAAGAAAUCGCACAGGUUAUUACCCUGUGUGGAUGACGGUACCGGAAUAAGAAGCACCGGCUAACUACGUGCCAGCCGCCGCAGUAA